CACGUAGGGCGCAAGCGUUGUCCGGAAUUACUGGGCGUAAAGAGCGCGCAGGCGGUCGUUCAAGUCGAGUGUGAAAGCCCCCGGCUCAACUGGGGAGGGUCACUCGAUACUGAUCGACUCGAAGGCAGAAGAGGGAAGCGGAAUUCCCGGUGUAGUGGUGAAAUGCGUAGAUAUCGGGAGGAACACCAGUGGCGAAGGCGGCUUUCUGGUCUGCUCUUGACGCUGAGGCGCGAAAGCUAGGGUAGCAAACGGG
rnacentral:rRNA from 1 species